rnacentral:rRNA from 1 species
UGGGGAAUAUUGCACAAUGGGCGCAAGCCUGAUGCAGCCAUGCCGCGUGUGUGAAGAAGGCCUUCGGGUUGUAAAGCACUUUCAGCGGGGAGGAAGGCGAUAAGGUUAAUAACCUUGUCGAUUGACGUUACCCGCAGAAGAAGCACCGGCUAACUCCGUGCCAGCAGCCGCGGUAAUACGGAGGGUGCAAGCGUUAAUCGGAAUUACUGUGCGUAAAGCGCACGCAGGCGGUCUGUCAAGUCGGAUGUGAAAUCCCCGGGCUCAACCUGGGAACUGCAUUCGAAACUGGCAGGCUAGAGUCUUGUAGAGGGGGGUAGAAUUCCAGGUGUAGCGGUGAAAUGCGUAGAGAUCUGGAGGAAUACCGGUGGCGAAGGCGGCCCCCUGGACAAAGACUGACGCUCAGGUGCGAAAGCGUGGGGAGCAAACAGG